rnacentral:rRNA from 1 species
UUGCCCUAGUAACGGCGAGUGAAGCGGCAACAGCUCAAAUUUGAAAUCUGGCCUCCUUUGGGGGUCCGAGUUGUAAUUUGCAGAGGGUGCUUUGGCGUCGGCAGCGGUCUAAGUUCCUUGGAACAGGACAUCACAGAGGGUGAGAAUCCCGUACGUGGUCGCCUGCCUUCGCCGUGUAAAGCCCCUUCGACGAGUCGAGUUGUUUGGGAAUGCAGCUCUAAAUGGGAGGUAAAUUUCUUCUAAAGCUAAAUACCGGCCAGAGACCGAUAGCGCACAAGUAGAGUGAUCGAAAGAUGAAAAGCACUUUGGAAAGAGAGUCAAACAGCACGUGAAAUUGUUGAAAGGGAAGCGCUUGCAGCCAGACUUGCUCGUAGUUGCUCACCUGGGUCCGCCCGGGGCACUCUUCUGCGAGCAGGCCAGCAUCAGUUUGGGCGACCGGAUAAAGGCCUCUGUCAUGUAUCUUCCUUCGGGAUGACCUUAUAGGGGAGGCGUAAUGCGGCCAGCCCGGACUGAGGUCCGCGCAUCUGCUAGGAUGCUGGCGUAAUGGCUGUAAGCGGCCCGUCUUGAAACACGGACCAAGGAGUCUAACAUCUAUGCGAGUGUUUGGGUGUCAAGCCCGGGCGCGUAAUGAAAGUGAACGGAGGUGGGAACCCUCUCCGGGGGGUGCACCAUCGACCGAUCCUGAUGUCUUCGGAUGGAUUUGAGUAAGAGCAUAGCUGUUGGGACCCGAAAGAUGGUGAACUAUGCUUGAAUAGGGUGAAGCCAGAGGAAACUCUGGUGGAGGCUCGCAGCGGUUCUGACGUGCAAAUCGAUCGUCAAAUUUGGGCAUAGGGGCGAAAGACUAAUCGAACUAUC